rnacentral:piRNA from 1 species
UAUAUGUGCAUGUAUCUAUCAAAACUUUA